rnacentral:rRNA from 1 species
AUUGAACGCUGGCGGCAGGCCUAACACAUGCAAGUCGAGCGGGGUUUUCGGACCUAGCGGCGGACGGGUGAGUAAUGCGUAGGAAGCUACCCGAUAGAGGGGGAUACCAGUUGGAAACGACUGUUAAUACCGCAUAAUGUCUCCGGACCAACGUGAGGGGCCUUCGGGCCACAUGCUAUCGGAUGCGCCUACGUGGGAUUAGCUAGUUGGUGAGGUAAUGGCUCACCAAGGCGACGAUCUCUAGCUGGUUUGGGAGGAUGAUCAGCCACACUGGAACUGAGACACGGUCCAGACUCCUACGGGAGGCAGCAGUGGGGAAUAUUGGACAAUGGGCGCAAGCCUGAUCCAGCCAUGCCGCGUGUGUGAAGAAGGCCUUCGGGUUGUAAAGCACUUUCAGUAGGGAGGAAGAGUUAAGUGUUAAUAGUACUUAACUUUGACGUUACCUACAGAAGAAGCACCGGCUAACUCUGUGCCAGCAGCCGCGGUAAGAC